GUGAGUCAUCGAGUCUUUGAACGCACCUUGCGCUCCUGGACUUGUUUCAGGAGCAUGCCUGUUUGAGUGUCAUGAAAUCAUCAACCACGAUGCUUCUUAGUGUCGCUGGCUUGGACUUGGGGAUUUGCUGGCUUGUCAAGAGUCGGCUUCCCUUGAAUGCAUUAGUCGGGUGCCUUGCUCGAGAAGUGUGAUAAUUAUCAUUCACUGAUCGUCGAGGAGCUUUGUCUCGGCUUCUAACCGCAUUGGAAACGAUGCAAUUUUGACACAUCUGACCUCAAAUCAGGUAGGACUACCCGCUGAACUUAA
rnacentral:rRNA from 1 species